UCCCUCUUAGCUCAGUUGGUAGAGCGCGUCACUAGUAUUCGAGCUAUGACGAGGUCAGUCGUUCAAGUCGGCUAGAGGGAA